rnacentral:misc_RNA from 1 species
UGAAUAACGCAUCAUUGCAGGAAUGAGCUUUCUCGGGUUCAAACUCUUAGUGGUCAUCCAUGACUCAACAGUUUCAUAUGCAUCAAGCAUGAUGAGAUCUGGUGCAAACUUGUACUGAAGUUCUGUUGCAACAUUAGGCUUCUGAAGAACUUGUAACGCCUUCUUUGCUUCUCCUUGCUGAAUGUAGUGGUGAAGCACAAUUUCGUAUUGCUCCUUUAGACUAGCAAAGAACACUAGCUCAUCAACUCUACCGUAGCUUUCUAGUAGUUUCAUGGUGGUUGCCUCAUCCAAUACAUCCUUGCAGUCACUAAGGAAAGCACGAAACUCUUUAAUGAGUGAUUGGUACUCGGUAUUAUUACUGUCCAAAGCAUCAUCAUCUUCUAGAAGCAGCCGAUUGAUCUUAUCAAGAUAUAAUUCAGUAGCCCAUGUCGAAAUCAUUGUUAUUUGACAUUUUUCAUCCUUUGAAAGAUUAUCAAGCUUCCGCAGGAGAAAUGUUCUCAGUGCAUCCUGUUCGCCUAUGCUAAUGAACUUCAAUGAGAUCUCUUCAAAAGAUAAUACAUAAUUAAUUUUUGCAUAGAAUGAUGCAGCUCUGAGGAACUCCUUGGCAACAAAAGCAGCUUCAGCCUGAACCAGAUAAACUUGGUCUCUCUGCAGGGCAUCACGACAACUAGCCAAAGCUGCAGCAUAUUCUUUUAAGUCCAAGUACACUUUCCACAUAUCACGACCUUCAUCAUUUACGGACACCUGGAAGAUAGAAUUUUGGUCAUAUGCAUAAAACAACCCAGCUGAGGCAUCACUACAUAAGCCAAUAAUACCUCUUGAAACUGCAUCAGAUGUCUGAUCAAAAUAAAGUUCUUCAACUAUCUGUUCACUUAUCCUGUUCACCACCUUAACCUUGUUGCCAAGGAGAAGUAGGAAAUGAAACUCGGAUAUAGCCAGAGAGCUAGGUUUGACACCUUCAACUCCUUCAGAGAAUUUAGAGUAGUCCAGAAGAGCUUUAUUUUCCACAAAGUUUUCAUCCCCAUUUGGCGAACUACGUUGUGCUCCAAAUUUUAGGUCACCAUGGUAGAUACCUGCUCCAGAAAGCCACGUGAAGUGUACAGCCCUCCUUUGCUGGAUAAAGAAGUGCAGUUCACUGUUAGGUAUUUCACCAGGAAGCUCCAUGAAAUGAACUGUGCGGUCCACAUAGCUUGCAAAAAUGGCAUCAAGUGAUCCAAUCCCCGUGAAAGAAUAAAGUCGCGUAGGUGUAACAGCCAUCACAUAAAAUCUGGUACCAUUGUGCACACUUGCUGUUUCCAUCUGCAAACCAGUGAAUGCCUCAGGUAGUUCUUUAAGUUCAAAUAGUAACUUAAUGUACUUCUCCAUUUUAUCCUUUACAUCUACAGCCAUCUCGUAAAGUUGACCAUUGUCCGUACCCAAAAUGAUUUCUCUAGUUGAAGCUUCUGUUAUAUGUUGUCUGUUCCAGGCGACAGCAUUGACAACAAGACCUUUUAGUUUGCUCAAAAUACGUGG